rnacentral:lncRNA from 1 species
GUGCAGAUAAGACAUAGGGAUGAGCGUCAUGUACACAUAACAAAUAAGUUUCAAGAGAGAACAAAAUGAUUAGAGCAGAGACAUCUUAGGUGGGUGCUCUCUGCUCCCGGAACUUAGACAUAUAUGGUCUUAAGUGUUGUUUAAGCAUCAAGCAUUUCCUGAGUCCAAGUUAGGCAAUUUUAAUAUAGGAUAUCAUUAUAUGACACCUAUAAGCUUGAG